UUGGCUCGAGUGGCGAACGGGUGAGUAACACGUGAGUAACCUGCCCUUGACUUUGGGAUAACUUCAGGAAACUGGGGCUAAUACCGGAUAGGAGCUCCUGCUGCAUGGUGGGGGUUAGAAAGUUUCGGCGGUUGGGGAUGGACUCGCGGCUUAUCAGCUUGUUGGUGGGGUAGUGGCUUACCAAGGCUUUGACGGGUAGCCGGCCUGAGAGGGUGACCGGCCACAUUGGGACUGAGAUACGGCCCAG
rnacentral:rRNA from 1 species